CUGUGAUAUCUCUGAGGGCCAGGUUUGGGCCGGCCAGCGUGUAGCCUGUGAUAUCUCUGAGGGCCAGGUUUGGGCCGGCCAGCGUGUAGCCUGUGAUAUCUCUGAGGGCCAGGUUUGGGCCGGCCAGCGUGUAGCCUGUGAUAUCUCUGAGGGCCAGGUUUGGGCCGGCCAGCGUGUAGCCUGUGAUAUCUCUGAGGGCCAGGUUUGGGCCGGCCAGCGUGUAGCCUGUGAUAUCUCUGAGGGCCAGGUUUGGGCCGGCCAGCGUGUAGCCUGUGAUAUCUCUGAGGGCCAGGUUUGGGCCGGCCAGCGUGUAGCCUGUGAUAUCUCUGAGGGCCAGGUUUGGGCCGGCCAGCGUGUAGCCUGUGAUAUCUCUGAGGGCCAGGUUUGGGCCGGCCAGCGUGUAGCCUGUGAUAUCUCUGAGGGCCAGGUUUGGGCCGGCCAGCGUGUAGCCUGUGAUAUCUCUGAGGGCCAGGUUUGGGCCGGCCAGCGUGUAGCCUGUGAUAUCUCUGAGGGCCAGGUUUGAUUGGAUCCUCUCGUGCUGGAGGAGGUCAGUGAGAGGUUCACCCUGUGUGUGAAUAACUCUUACUCUGCAACAGAAAAAGUGAACUGUCUUUUGCAAACUCUCAACUCAACCAGGGUUCAUGGUUCGACUGGAUGUGAGAGGUAUGCAUACAGUCCUUCCUCUUCAGUGUAAAAAGAAUGAAUCAAUGUGCUUCGGCCUUGACGUCUGUAAACACAUUGGUUGUUAACAAAAAGAAAAUCGAGAAAUUUCAAUGACUGAAUACCUCGGACAUAUGAAGAGCACUGACCGUGCAAAGGAAAAAUUAAACUGUCGAUAAACAUGCAGUCCAACAAAGAUGUAUUAACAGAUGAACAGAGUGGAUAUGUGAGAGGUAUUCAGACACUCAAGGAUGACCAAUACGGAAGGCUGUGAGGCCGAAACGUCUCUUCUUCUUCUAAACCGCAAAAAUGUUUUUUUUUUUUUACAAACUUCUAUUUGUUCACCAAGUGUGUCUGAAUAACUUUAGCAUAUGAAUAACACUGAUUUAAAGGUCAGAUAUAUCCAUUUAUUUUAGUGCUGAAUGGUUUUCAG